rnacentral:tRNA from 1 species
AGGGGUGUACGUCGUUUGGCGCUGGUCUCCAAAACCAGAUGUCGUAGGUUCGAAUCCUGCCACCCCUG